ACGUAGGGUGCAGGCGUUAAUCGGAAUUACUGGGCGUAAAGCGUGCGCAGGCGGCUUCUCAAGUCAGAUGUGAAAUCCCCGGGCUUAACCUGGGAACUGCGUUUGAAACUGGGAGGCUAGAGUGCGGCAGAGGGGGAUGGAAUUCCGCGUGUAGCAGUGAAAUGCGUAGAUAUGCGGAGGAACACCGAUGGCGAAGGCAAUCCCCUGGGCCUGCACUGACGCUCAUGCACGAAAGCGUGGGGAGCAAACAGGA
rnacentral:rRNA from 1 species